GCCACCGUGGCGGAAUCGGUAGACGCCGCGGACUUAAAAUCCGUUGCAGGGUAACCUGCGUGCCGGUUCGAGUCCGGCCGGUGGCA
rnacentral:tRNA from 1 species